rnacentral:rRNA from 1 species
GAAAGAUGGCUUUGGCUAUCACUCUGGGAUGGACCUGCGGUGCAUUAGCUAGUUGGUAAGGUAACGGCUUACCAAGGCGAUGAUGCAUAGCCGAGUUGAGAGACUGAUCGGUCACAAUGGAACUGAGACACGGUCCAUACUCCUACGGGAGGCAGCAGUAGGGAAUCUUCCACAAUGGGCGCAAGCCUGAUGGAGCAACACCGCGUGAGUGAAGAAGGGUUUCGGCUCGUAAAGCUCUGUUGUUGGAGAAGAACGUGCGUGAGAGUAACUGUUCAUGCAGUGACGGUAUCCAACCAGAAAGUCACGGCUAACUACGUGCCAGCAGCCGCGGUAAUACGUAGGUGGCAAGCGUUAUCCGGAUUUAUUGGGCGUAAAGCGAGCGCAGGCGGUUGCUUAGGUCUGAUGUGAAAGCCUUCGGCUUAACCGAAGAAGUGCAUCGGAAACCGGGCGACUUGAGUGCAGAAGAGGACAGUGGAACUCCAUGUGUAGCGGUGGAAUGCGUAGAUAUAUGGAAGAACACCAGUGGCGAAGGCGGCUGUCUGGUCUGCAACUGACGCUGAGGCUCGAAAGCAUGGGUAGCGAACAGGAUUAGAUACCCUGGUAGUCCAUGCCGUAAACGAUGAGUGCUAGGUGUUGGAGGGUUUCCGCCCUUCAGUGCC